UACGUAGGGAGCAAGCGUUGUCCGGAAUCAUUGGGCGUAAAGCGCGCGUAGGUGGCCCGGUAAGUCCGCUCUGAAAGUCACAGGCUCAACCUGUGAAAGCGGGUGGAUACUGCCGGGCUAGAGUCCGGAAGAGGCGAGUGGAAUUCCUGGUGUAGCGGUGGAAUGCGCAGAUAUCAGGAGGAACACCAACGGCGAAGGCAGCUCGCUGGGGACGGUACUGACACUGAGGCGCGAAAAGCGUGGGGGGAGCGAACAGG
rnacentral:rRNA from 1 species